rnacentral:rRNA from 1 species
CCCCUAGAUGUUCUGGGCCGCACGCGCGCUACACUGAACAGUUCAACAAGUCUUAACCUUGGCCGAUAGGUCUGGGUAAUCUUUGAACGCUGUUCGUGAUUGGGAUAGACCUUUGCAAUUAUGGGUCUUCAACGAGGAAUUCCUAGUAAACGCAAGUCAUCAGCUUGCAUUGAUUACGUCCCUGCCCUUUGUACACACCGCCCGUCGCACCUACCGAUUGAAUGGUCCGGUGAAGCCUCGGGAUUGUGGUUGGUUUCCUUUAUUGGAGAUUGAUUGCGAGAACUUGUCUAAACCUUAUCAUUUAGAGGAAGGUGAAGUCGUAACA